UUUAUGGAGAGUUUGAUCCUGGCUCAGGACGAACGCUGGCGGCGUGCCUAAUACAUGCAAGUCGAGCGGAGUUGAUGAGAAGCUUGCUUCUCGGAUACGGAGAGGCGGACCUGCGACUGAACACAAAACGACACCGACAAACAACCAACACCGA
rnacentral:ncRNA from 1 species